UGGGGAAUAUUGGACAAUGGGCGAAAGCCUGAUCCAGCAAUGCCGCGUGAGUGAUGAAGGCCUUAGGGUUGUAAAGCUCUUUUGCCCGGGAUGAUAAUGACAGUACCGGGAGAAUAAGCUCCGGCUAACUCCGUGCCAGCAGCCGCGGUAA
rnacentral:rRNA from 1 species